GAUGAACGCUGGCGGCGUGCCUAAUACAUGCGAGUAGAACGCUGAAGGAAGGAGCUUGCUCUUUCCGGAUGAGUUGCGAACGGGUGAGUAACGCGUAGGUAACCUGCCUGGUAGCGGGGGAUAACUAUUGGAAACGAUAGCUAAUACCGCAUAACAGUAGAUGUUGCAUGACAACUAUUUGAAAGGGGCAAUUGCUCCACUACCAGAUGGACCUGCGUUGUAUUAGCUAGUUGGUGAGGUAACGGCUCACCAAGGCGACGAUACAUAGCCGACCUGAGAGGGUGAUCGGCCACACUGGGACUGAGACACGGCCCAGACUCCUACGGGAGGCAGCAGUAGGGAAUCUUCGGCAAUGGACGGAAGUCUGACCGAGCAACGCCGCGUGAGUGAAGAAGGUUUUCGGAUCGUAAAGCUCUGUUGUAAGAGAAGAACGAGUGUGAGAGUGGAAAGUUCACACUGUGACGGUAUCUUACCAGAAAGGGACGGCUAACUACGUG
rnacentral:rRNA from 1 species